UUUCCCAGACUCGGGGAUGAGGAAAGCACACCCCACUAUGGGUUGCAACUUUUAUUUACAGCAUUUGACAAUCAUUAAACCCUUUGACCCCUGGUAACAGCCAAUAUGAAGUGGAUUCUAUUAAAGGCGGGGAAACUGAGGCAGAGAAAGCUUCUGUCGCCGGCUUUCUGACACACAGAGGGAAUGGAAGUAUUUGGAGGCACUGGUUGGGAAGUAAACUACAGCACAUUGGAUCUCUUUUUCGUGUACUUUUCGAAGAGAACACACCACUGUGAAGAUACCACGUGUUCUCUUCAUAAUUUGGCAGAUUCGGCUUAAAAGUUCUGCAAGCAGAUAAGCAACUCUGACUGUGGCCACAGCUUCGUUUCCUGGUUCAUUUCCAAGACUACAGCUUGCUUAUCUUCCAGACUCAAUGCAAGGCGACGGGUGGGCUUGUCAUCAACAAACACUCAAAUAAAAGUUAGUCUUGCAUCAUGAAUAUUGGCCACCACUGUGGACAGCCUGUUCUGAAGCCCUUCCACUGAAUUUUGAGCAAUAAUGGAAUUAAGGAUAUGAAGUCUCUAAGUGUGAUCUCUUCCAACAGGAUUAUACCUAUGGAAAUGUAUUCACUGUAAGGUACCGUUCGACUAGUGAUGGCUGGCUCUGUCACAUCAACGCACUGGGGACACCAAGCUCCCGACACAUGAAACUCGGGGACACACUGAAACUGUCUCCAUAACAGCCAACCAAGGAGGCAGGGAGCCAGGAGAGCUUGAAGUCCUCACUGCCAAGGACAAUGCAGACUAAGAAGUGUCCAGGGGACUCACAGAAUGGCUCAGGGGUCCAUUCUCUGACCACCCCGCCCAUCGACAAUGGCUAAACAUGCCUGAAAACCAGGUACGUGCAGCUGUGCAGAUCUAUGGACACUAGAGGGAACGAGAGGUCAGCCUAAGCAUGUCCCAUGACCACCAUCAACUCUGCCCAGGCAGCUCAGCCGGCAAUGUUCUGCAGGUAACAGACCAAUCAUACAUCUGCCAAUCCUCCAGACAAUGCCAGGAGGGACAAUUACCAUUGCCACUCUGGGGACAAGGAAAUAAGCUUCGGUUGUGUUGGCACAGGAACCCAGAAUUCGAGAAUUUGUACUCAUUGUCAGUGUUCUUAUAAUUAUAGGGGGUGCUACCCAAACUAAGGCACACACUCCUUAUCUGUCUCUCAUCAAUCUGGGAGGGGACAAGGAAAGGAAAUCUGGUUGCAUUAAGCCAGGAUGUCCCCAGGGUCCCAGAAAAAGGCUUGGUGAUUCAGGUCCUUGGGCAGCCUGUUUGAGGAGUUUCCAAACCUUCCCUGGGGAAGAACAAGUAACCAUUUCCAGAAGGUUCCAGAAGACUCCACAAGCCAAUAUUUCUUUUUCUCCACUCUAAAUGCUACAAGAUCCCCCAUGAGCCCUGCUUCCCAAUGCCAGUGAGCCCUGUCUCCCAGUGCUAAGAGCCACACCCCUGGUGUCAAUGAGGCACACCUUCCUGUGCCAGGGAUCCUCCCUUCCCAAUACCAAAAGUUUACUUCUCCCCCGAGUCUUUAUAUUUACAUGUGUUUUUUAUAAAUAACGUAUGGCUGAGCCUUGAUUUUUGAUCCAGUCUGGUAAUCUCUACUCGAAUCCAUACAUUCACUUGGUCUGUGAGAAACUUGGUAGUCCAACCCAGCCUCUGGCAUCACUGUCAUUAAAAGACUCUGAUCUGUGGUGGGGGGUGGGGCAGCCAUUAUUUCAGGUAGUUUAGGGUCACCUUUAGGUCCACUCCUGCGGGGCUCUGGAACCCAAAUGCCACAGGAAUGUGUAAGGGUGCUGUGUUCUCACUGCUUACUAGCGUCUCUC